rnacentral:misc_RNA from 1 species
GAUGAAGAACGCAGCGAAAUGCGAUACGUAAUGUGAAUUGCAAAUUCAGUGAAUCAUCGAGUCUUUGAACGCACAUUGCGCCCCCUGGUAUUCCGGGGGGCAUGCCUGUCCGAGCGUCAUUGCUGCCCUCAAGCACGGCUUGUGUGUUGGGCCCCGUCCUCCGAUUCCGGGGGACGGGCCCGAAAGGCAGCGGCGGCACCGCGUCCGGUCCUCGAGCGUAUGGGGCUUUGUCACCCGCUCUGUAGGCCCGGCCGGCGCUUGCCGACAAACCCAAAUUUUUAUCCAGGUUGACCUCGGAUCAGGUAGGGAUACCCGCUGAACUUAAGCAUAUCAAUAAGCGGAGGA